rnacentral:rRNA from 1 species
UACGAAGGGGGGCUAGCGUUGCUCGGAAUCACUGGGCGUAAAGGGUGCGUAGGCGGGUCUUUAAGUCAGGGGUGAAAUCCUGGAGCUCAACUCCAGAACUGCCUUUGAUACUGAGGAUCUUGAGUUCGGGGAGAGGUGAGUGGAACUGCGAGUGUAGAGGUGAAAUUCGUAGAUAUUCGCAAGAACACCAGUGGCGAAGGCGGCUCACUGGCCCGAUACUGACGCUGAGGCACGAAAGCGUGGGGAAGCAAACAGGGA